AACUGUGUCCAUAAGAACGUGUGUAUUUUAAUAUUUGACAGAUGUCGCUUGCAGUGUGUAGCACUCUAUGUGUUCGGCACAUGAACCUUCUCCGYCAUUAUUGGCAAAUUCUGUUUCGGUGCCGCCAGAGAGCGUAGAUUUAUAAAAAUAGGUGCCAAAAGGCUUACAUACUAUGUUUUUAAUAGCAAUAUAUAUUACUGAGCAUAUUUAUCAUUCAAUUCUCACCUCUGUUCACGCGGCACGUUAGGUUUCUCCUUCCGAGCUAGCAGUGGUGAAAUCCGCCCAUCGUCUUUUGUGCUUUUCCGCAAUUGAACCAUGAUUCAAUUAAAAAAAAAACACUUUGUCAAAAAAAAAUUUGGUAAAAAAUGUGUUUUACUAUGGUAGGCCGAGAACUUUUCAAUCGACCUAUUAUGUAGUCGAUGGAAGCUGGCAAAAUUCGUACACCAAUUUUCUGCUUAUUAAAUGGAUAGGAGCGAAAGAAAGUAUUGACCCGAAGUGCCCAAAAAAUAAGGUGACAUUUGAACUUAAACUGCUUGCGUUGAAGUCAUCAACCUCAACCGACGAAACUCACAUUCAACAUUUGGUGUUGCAAAACCGUCGAUUAACAAUUAGAGACCUUGCUGAUGAAGUUGGCAUAUCGAAAGGCUCAGCCAAUACAUCAGCCAAAUCGUCGGGAGGGGAUUGCUUUGAAUGGGUGGAAAUWGAUUUGGAAGAAUAAAUAAAGAAAUAAAUACAAUGUCACCUUAUUUUUUGGGCACAGCCCAAAAGCAGAAGGACUUACUGUUGUUUAUAUAUUCAGUAUAUGGGGGCUUGAAAAGUUAUGAGMCGAUUUCAAAAUCUUAGAUGCAACCGAACUUAACGUCAUUUCUGGUUUUGUAUUAAAUAACKUAGGUAUGAAUUUUAUACUCAAGAAUAAAAAUAAUUUCGACGGAGAGUGGGAAACUAGUAACCACAUA